rnacentral:rRNA from 1 species
AACACAUGCAAGUCGAACGAGAUCUUCGGAUCUAGUGGCGCACGGGUGAGUAACGCGUGGGAACCUACCUUUUAGUACGGGACAACGUUUGGAAACGAACGCUAAUACCGUAUACGCCCUCCGGGGGAAAGGUCAGCCGCUAAAAGAGGGGCCCGCGUCUGAUUAGCUUGUUGGUAAGGUAAUGGCUUACCAAGGCUACGAUCAGUAGCUGGUCUGAGAGGAUGAUCAGCCACACUGGGACUGAGACACGGCCCAGACUCCUACGGGAGGCAGCAGUGGGGAAUAUUGGACAAUGGAGGCAACUCUGAUCCAGCAAUGCCGCGUGUGUGAUGAAGGCCCUAGGGUUGUAAAGCACUUUCAACGGUGAAGAUGAUGACGGUAGCCGUAGAAGAAGCCCCGG